rfam:Aedes albopictus isolate Foshan contig101063, whole genome shotgun sequence.
UGUUCUGUGGCUUAGUUGAUUAGAAUGCCAGACUAGCGAUACGGAAUCGUGGGUUCGAAUCCCACCAAAACAA